rnacentral:lncRNA from 1 species
GGGAGGCAGGUGUUUGUAGAUAAAUGACGGAAAAUUACUGCAGAUCCCAUAGCCUAGGCUCCUCGCUUUAAUGUCUCCUUUAAGCGCUGAAUUCAGAGUGGAGGUUUUCCGAGUCCACUGACCCUUAUUUGCACCGCACCCUGUCACCUUUUCGGCCGGGACAGUGGGCAGUUUGGUCUCCAGCCUCUGGGCAGCAGGAGGACGGAAAGCAGGUCGCAGGGUGGAGGAGGGGCGGGGAUCGGGUGAUCCAAAUUCAAGUCCCGCCCAGGUCGCUGGCCUUUUCUGGGUGCAGAUAGGCCGGGUCUCCUUGCUCGGUGAGGAGUUGGGUGGAAACCACGGCGUCCUGGAGAACAGAAAGGUGACACAGAGGCUGGCGGUCUCACAUUCUCUGUUUCUCUCUGUGUGUGUUUCUGUGUCUGUCUGUGUAUGCUUGCCGUCCCCCCCUCCCGCUCCUUCCCUUCCCCAUCUCCAAUUUUGGCUUGCGUUUCUUUGUUCGCAUUCGAUAGUUUUUCGAGUUUUGCCAAAAUUAUCAAGUCGUAUUCCUUGUCCAGCGCAGCUGCCAGCGAUGGUAACAGUACCCGCGAACACCUUGGGAGCGGCUGACACUCCGCCAGGGCCUGUCCCAAGCCUUUCAAAGAGAUUAACUCUGCAGGAGGAGACGAAAGUCACGUCUCGCUGCUUUCCAGAAGCGCUCCAACACUUGUUCCUCAUUGUCUCAUGGGAUGUGAUAAAUUGGGGCACACUUCCUGCUUGGCUAUGGGUCGGAGUUUCGCAGAUGGACCGCCUAAGGACUCAGAGUUUCUGGGUGCUGGAGAGGGCUGCCCAGGAUAUCAGUGGUUCUGGAACAUUUCCAGGUUCCCCACAAUUCUCCAACUUCGGUGUUCUUUAGCCAGUUUUCCAAGCAAGCACUCCUUUAUCUUUCACAAGUUUUUUUUUUUUUUUUUUUUUUUUUUUUUUGCCUCAAGCUGGGAAAACUCAAUAAAGGAAUGAUCAGUCUU